AACGAACGCUGGCGGCAUGCCUAACACAUGCGAGUCGAACGAGACCUUCGGGUCUAGUGGCGCACGGGUGCGUAACGCGUGGGAAACUGCCCUUAGGUUCGGAAUAACUCCCCGAAAGGGGUGCUAAUACCGGAUAAUGUCUUCGGACCAAAGAUUUAUCGCCUUUGGAUGGGCCCGCGUUGGAUUAGCUAGUUGGUAGGGUAAAAGCCUACCAAGGCGACGAUCCAUAGCUGGUCUGAGAGGAUGAUCAGCCACACUGGGACUGAGACACGGCCCAGACUCCUACGGGAGGCAGCAGUUGGGAAUAUUGGACAAUGGGCGAAAGCCUGAUCCAGCAAUGCCGCGUGAGUGAUGAAGGCCUUAGGGUUGUAUAGCUCUUUUACCCGGGAUGAUAAUGACAGUACCGGGAGAAUAAGCUCCGGCUAACUCCGUG
rnacentral:rRNA from 1 species